rnacentral:sRNA from 1 species
UUAUAAAGUGUAACACAUCAUGCGUUAAGUAGCUGAGCGUGUCAGUCAUGUGAAAUAAUCACACACUCCUGAAAUGACGUAAGUAAUUGUACUUACGUCAUUUCUUCGUAAUAAAAAAAUAAAAACCACGG